rnacentral:sRNA from 1 species
GGUGCAGCACAAUCAGCGGCAGAGCGAGCUGCCCUCCCACAUUGCCCUGCCAAUGUGCUCCAG